UGAUGUUUGAUUUUGUAGGUGUGAAUAUAACCUCAUGAUCGUCCAGAUCUCCAGACAGAAACUCAGAUCCUCCUCAAAGAUCCAGUCAAGCGUCACAAUAUAAAUGCUGCUUGAUUCUGCAAACACAACAAUGCAGACUCAUUGUCUAAUUGUGAAUGAACAUGAUAAAUAAAGUCAAAUAAACAUCUACUUCAGCCAUAUAUAAUGUAAAAGAUAUGUUGUCCCGUAUUUUAUGUUUUUGAGUUUGCCAUUGAGUUCAACAACAAAACAUAUUAUCUGACUUACCACAUCGGUUGAGUAUUGAUACGGAACAUUUCACUAUACUACUAGGUUCAAGUUAUUUGUAGAUUUGUUAUAAAAUAUUUUCAAUUCAAAUCUUUGUCCUCUGACAAAAACUUAAGUGUAGUUUUCCACCCGCUCCACCGGGCGGCGGAAUCAGGCUUUAGGUUCAGUUUUUGACGCAUUCAAAUGCUGCUUUACAACAUGAUGCUUGAUAACAGUCACAACAACACAAUAAGGGAUGUUUGAACUGUUACACUCAGCCAACAGAAGCAUGUGGACAGACAUUGACUGUAAUGAAGGACGUCUGCUGAUGCACAGGCAGAAGUAUAACCCCUGCUGGACAUUGUGCUGGAGCUCGGGGAGGACACCAUGAUCCCCCACACCUUCUCACUCACACCAGACCAUUCACUCAUAUCACAGAGAUCUGGCUGGACUUGAACCAGCAACCUCUGAAACCAUGAGGCAGCGCUUUUACCUCUGAGCCACAGUUCUCUUGUCUGAACAUGUGCAGGAACUUAUAUUUUACUAUUCUCCCUGUCAUUUUACAAUAAACCCAAAACAUUUUGAACUGGGAUUUGAACCCAUAACACCACCACAGUCCUGAUUGUGAGUAACAUGUUUAGCCAUUAGUGCUACACUGGCUUUCACAUUGAGAGCUGGCAUUUGGGCCAUUUUGUUGUAUAUAAUGCAAUACAUGAGCUUUAACGUAAGCAAUAGUGGGGCUCAAACUCAGAACUCCACGAGCCCAACACAACACUCUGCAUCCUGAGCCACUGACCCA